rnacentral:misc_RNA from 1 species
GAUGAAGAACGUAGCGAAAUGCGAUAAGUAAUGUGAAUUGCAGAAUUCAGUGAAUCAUCGAAUCUUUGAACGCACAUUGCGCCCGCCAGUAUUCUGGCGGGCAUGCCUGUUCGAGCGUCAUUUCAACCAUUAAGCCCCAGGCUUGUGUUGGGGACCUGCGGCUGCCGCAGGCCCUGAAAACCAGUGGCGGGCUCGCUGUCACACCGGGCGUAGUAGAUUUUAUCUCGCUCAGGGCGUGCUGCGGGUUCCGGCCGUUAAAAAGCCUUUUUUACCCAAGGUUGACCUCGGAUCAGGUAGGAAGACCCGCUGAACUUAAGCAUAUCAAUAAGCGGAGGA